GACGAACGCUGGCGGCGUGCUUAACACAUGCAAGUCGAACGGAAAGGCCCUGCUUUUGUGGGGUGCUCGAGUGGCGAAAGGGUGAGUAACACGUGAGUAACCUGCCCUUGACUUUGGGAUAACUUCAGGAAACUGGGGCUAAUACCGGAUAGGAGCUCCUGCUGCAUGGUGGGGGUUGGCAAGUUUCGGCGGUUGGGGAUGGACUCGCGGCUUAUCAGCGUGUUGGUGGGGUAGUGGCUUACCAAGGCUUUGACGGGUAGCCGGCCUGAGAGCGUGACCGGCCACAUUGGGACUAAGAGACGGCCCAGACUCCUACGGGAGGCAGCGGUGGGGAAUAUUGCACAAUGGGCGGGAGCCUGAUGCAGCAACGCCGCGUGCGGGAUGACGGCCUUCGGGUUGUAAACCGCUUUCGCCUGUGACGAAGCGUGAGUGACGGUAAUGGGUAAAGAAGCACCGGCUAACUACGUG
rnacentral:rRNA from 1 species